rnacentral:misc_RNA from 1 species
UCACCACUUCUGUGAGCUCCAUGACUUUGACAACUCCUUGGGUUGGGGUUGUGGGCAGUUCAGAGCCAAAGAUUUCCAGAGAAACUCCUAAAGAUGCAAGUAAUAAUGAGUUAAAUGUGGGGAAACCUGAAAUUUCACCUAAUUCAAAGAGCAAGAAAAGCCAGUUACAUGAUCUAUUGGCAGAAGAAGUUUUGGCAAAGUCUAAUGAUGGAGAGAUGGAGGUUCUUGAAAGUGUGUCUAGCUUGCCUUCUCAACAACUCACCAUGACUAAUGUGGAAUCUGUAGAUGAUGACAACUUUAUUGAAGCUAAAGAUACUAAAAAGAGUCGCAAAAAGUCUGCUAAAGCUAAGGGUACUGGCACUAAGGCCUUAGUGCCUACAACUGUUGAUGUGCCCGUUAGUUCAAGUCCUAUUGAGAAAGGAAAAAGCUCCCGUCUUGUGCAACAGGAGAAGG